GCGCCCGUGGCUCAGUUGGCAGAGCGGUGGGUCGGUACCCCACGGUCCCGGGUUCGGCGGUCGCU